AUUGAACGCUGGCGGCAGGCCUAACACAUGCAAGUCGAGCGGAUGAAGGGAGCUUGCUCCUGGAUUCAGCGGCGGACGGGUGAGUAAUGCCUAGGAAUCUGCCUGGUAGUGGGGGAUAACGUCCGGAAACGGGCGCUAAUACCGCAUACGUCCUGAGGGAGAAAGUGGGGGAUCUUCGGACCUCACGCUAUCAGAUGAGCCUAGGUCGGAUUAGCUAGUUGGUGGGGUAAAGGCCUACCAAGGCGACGAUCCGUAACUGGUCUGAGAGGAUGAUCAGUCACACUGGAACUGAGACACGGUCCAGACUCCUACGGGAGGCAGCAGUAGGGAAUAUUGGACAAUGGGCGAAAGCCUGAUCCAGCCAUGCCGCGUGUGUGAAGAAGGUCUUCGGAUUGUAAAGCACUUUAAGUUGGGAGGAAGGGAAGUAAGUGAAUACCUGGCUGUUUUGACGUUACCAACAGAAUAAGCACCGGCUAACUUCGUG
rnacentral:rRNA from 1 species